rnacentral:rRNA from 1 species
UACGGAGGGUGCAAGCGUUAAUCGGAAUUACUGGGCGUAAAGCGCGCGUAGGCGGUUUGAUAAGUCGAUUGUGAAAUCCCGGGCUCAACCUGGGAAUUGCAGUCGAGACUGUCAGACUAGAGUGUGGGAGAGGGUGGUGGAAUUCUCGGUGUAGAGGUGAAAUGCGUAGAUAUUGACAGGAACACCAGUGGCGUAAGCGGCUAUCUGGACGAGUAUUGACACUGAGGCACGAAAGCGUGGGAUCAAACAGG